UCCAGCAGAAGGCUGGUAGGUCACCAAGCCCUGAGCUGGCAGAACAGUAGAAUUAUAGGCCAGUAGGGCCUAGGUUUGACCGGCCCUGCACACUGGCUACUCCUAGAGAUCAGAGGCCUAGGUUGGGACAGAGGCAGGACUGGGGAUGAAAUGCCAGCCUCCCACCUCCCUGUCUAGCUCUCUAGACACUGCAAUACACCUGCCUCCCCUCAAAGAUCUAAAGAUGGUGAUGACAGUGACAAGAACUAUUCCAUUGAAUGAGAAAACUGAGGUUCAGAGAAAUUAAGCAUCUUGUCCAAGUUUGGGGGCUCAUGGGAGAUAAACAUAAUUCCUCUGAGUAGCUCCAAGGCCUUUCUAUUCCUCUGGGCUGAGCAUAGUUUGUAAGGAGCUACUCUACACAGACCAGCACUGCUGGCAUUUGGAAGCCUCCUCUUACUCUUCUGACCUACAUUUCCAAAGGACUGCAUGGGAGCUUGUACCCUGAAGAUUGGUGCCAGAUGCUGCUGUACAGGAAGCCCUCCCUGCCCUGCCAGGGCCCAUGGACACCUGGAUGACCACGGCCGGCAGCUGGCCAUGACUUUCAAGAGACAUGGGCCGCCUGGUGGGGCUAGGCACCACCUCUUUGGGACCCGGGAAGCAGGGGCUGCAGAAAUCCCUAGCAGCUUUGCAGUGUGGACGGCCUGAAAACAUACAGCAUUCAUGUCAGCCAAAGCACUCUCCAGAUACUGCUCAGUCCUGAGAAGGCUACCAAAUUGACAUCAGAGGUCAGACGGAGCUGAAGGCACUACUGAAAAGCCUAGCUCCCAGCCCUCCCCUGCACAUCCUGUCUCGGAACUGGGAACCUGCAGAUCUGGCAGCCUUGUCAUCCUGCGACCCCUCGGCUGAUGGCUUUUCCACUCCUGGACAGAAACUUUAGAAAGUGCCAGAAAUGUUUUCAUCUUCUUGGCUCAGCAGGAGGGAGGAGAGCAGAGAUUAGUCGCAGUGGGCACCACCUGCUGUGGGAGCCUCCCAGACCUCCAGGCAGAGACCUUUGGCAAGACCUCAUAAACCACGAAAUCCAGGUAGCCUUUACCAAGCCUGUCAGGACGCGGCAGGGACCCAGAGCUCUGGAAAGGUCUCGGCCAGGCCCUGCAGCACAGAGACUCCUGUGGAUACCCCCCUUCCCCUCAUGGUUCCACUUCCUUCAGACUUCUUUGCUGAACUCCCUGGUGGCCAACUGGGUGCUCAUUACUAAGUGCUCAGAGUGAUAGUAAUUGAUGCCUUCCCGUGUGAAUCCUAGAAAUGAACCUGCCUCUCGACAGAACAACAGUGAAAAUGGAUACUCUCCACUCCUGUCACGUGCUCCUUUGUUCUUGACAAAUGGUUUUGAUGCAGAGAGCUCAUUACCAUGAGAGCCGAUCCUGAAGAACCUUGUGCCCACUGUCUAGCUGCAGGGCCCAAGGCCCAGGGGGAGGCAGUCAUUUGCCCCAGCUGGCACAGCUGCUUCGGCAGAAGCAAGGCUGGGACAAGGAAGUGCAGCCAGGCAGACAAGGGCUCCAGGCUCCGCUGGGCCUCCCACAUGUCACAUAU